rnacentral:rRNA from 1 species
CCGAAUGGGGAAACCCAGUGUGAUUCGUCACACUAUCAUUAACUGAAUCCAUAGGUUAAUGAGGCGAACCGGGGGAACUGAAACAUCUAAGUACCCCGAGGAAAAGAAAUCAACCGAGAUUCCCCCAGUAGCGGCGAGCGAACGGGGAGGAGCCCAGAGCCUGAAUCAGCAUGUGUGUUAGUGGAAGCGUCUGGAAAGGCGCGCGAUACAGGGUGACAGCCCCGUACACAAAAGCGCAUGUGCUGUGAGCUCGAUGAGUAGGGCGGGACACGUGGUAUCCUGUCUGAAUAUGGGGGGACCAUCCUCCAAGGCUAAAUACUCCUGACUGACCGAUAGUGAACCAGUACCGUGAGGGAAAGGCGAAAAGAACCCCGGCGAGGGGAGUGAAAAAGAACCUGAAACCGUGUACGUACAAGCAGUGGGAGCNNNNNNNNNNNNNNNNNNNNNNNNNNNNNNNNNNNNNNNNNNNNNNNNNNNNNNNNNNNNNNNNNNNGGGCGUUAAGUUGCAGGGUAUAGACCCGAAACCCGGUGAUCUAGCCAUGGGCAGGUUGAAGGUUGGGUAACACUAACUGGAGGACCGAACCGACUAAUGUUGAAAAAUUAGCGGAUGACCUGUGGCUGGGGGUGAAAGGCCAAUCAAACCGGGAGAUAGCUGGUUCUCCCCGAAAGCUAUUUAGGUAGCGCCUCGUGAAUUCAUCUCCGGGGGUAGAGCACUGUUUCGGCUAGGGGGCCAUCCCGGCUUACCAACCCGAUGCAAACUGCGAAUACCGGAGAAUGUUAUCACGGGAGACACACGGCGGGUGCUAACGUCCGUCGUGAAGAGGGAAACAACCCAGACCGCCAGCUAAGGUCCCAAAGUCAUGGUUAAGUGGGAAACGAUGUGGGAAGGCCCAGACAGCCAGGAUGUUGGCUUAGAAGCAGCCAUCAUUUAAAGAAAGCGUAAUAGCUCACUGGUCGAGUCGGCCUGCGCGGAAGAUGUAACGGGGCUAAACCAUGCACCGAAGCUGCGGCAGCGAACGUAUCACCCAAGACAACUUUACGGAGUUGACGAUUGACGGAGCGAAGCGACGUCAAAGCGUUCAUUAAAGUCGAGUUGGCUUAGGGAUACGUUCGUUGGGUAGGGGAGCGUUCUGUAAGCCUGUGAAGGUGUGUCGUGAGGCAUGCUGGAGGUAUCAGAAGUGCGAAUGCUGACAUAAGUAACGAUAAAGCGGGUGAAAAGCCCGCUCGCCGGAAGACCAAGGGUUCCUGUCCAACGUUAAUCGGGGCAGGGUGAGUCGACCCCUAAGGCGAGGCCGAAAGGCGUAGUCGAUGGGAAACGGGUUAAUAUUCCCGUACUUGGUGUUACUGCGAAGGGGGGACGGAGAAGGCUAUGUUGGCCGGGCGACGGUUGUCCCGGUUUAAGCGUGUAGGUGUGUGUUCCAGGUAAAUCCGGUUCACUUUAACACUGAGGCGUGACGACGAGGCACUACGGUGCUGAAGCAACAAAUGCCCUGCUUCCAGGAAAAGCCUCUAAGCAUCAGGUAACACGAAAUCGUACCCCAAACCGACACAGGUGGUCAGGUAGAGAAUACCAAGGCGCUUGAGAGAACUCGGGUGAAGGAACUAGGCAAAAUGGUGCCGUAACUUCGGGAGAAGGCACGCUGACACGUAGGUGAAGUGAUUUACUCAUGGAGCUGAAGUCAGUCGAAGAUACCAGCUGGCUGCAACUGUUUAUUAAAAACACAGCACUGUGCAAACACGAAAGUGGACGUAUACGGUGUGACGCCUGCCCGGUGCCGGAAGGUUAAUUGAUGGGGUCAGCGCAAGCGAAGCUCCUGAUCGAAGCCCCGGUAAACGGCGGCCGUAACUAUAACGGUCCUAAGGUAGCGAAAUUCCUUGUCGGGUAAGUUCCGACCUGCACGAAUGGCGUAAUGAUGGCCAGGCUGUCUCCACCCGAGACUCAGUGAAAUUGAACUCGCUGUGAAGAUGCAGUGUACCCGCGGCAAGACGGAAAGACCCCGUGAACCUUUACUAUAGCUUGACACUGAACAUUGAGCCUUGAUGUGUAGGAUAGGUGGGAGGCUUUGAAGUGUGGACGCCAGUCUGCAUGGAGCCGACCUUGAAAUACCACCCUUUAAUGUUUGAUGUUCUAACGUGGACCCGUAAUCCGGGUUGCGGACAGUGUCUGGUGGGUAGUUUGACUGGGGCGGUCUCCUCCUAAAGAGUAACGGAGGAGCACGAAGGUUGGCUAAUCCUGGUCGGACAUCAGGAGGUUAGUGCAAUGGCAUAAGCCAGCUUGACUGCGAGCGUGACGGCGCGAGCAGGUGCGAAAGCAGGUCAUAGUGAUCCGGUGGUUCUGAAUGGAAGGGCCAUCGCUCAACGGAUAAAAGGUACUCCGGGGAUAACAGGCUGAUACCGCCCAAGAGUUCAUAUCGACGGCGGUGUUUGGCACCUCGAUGUCGGCUCAUCACAUCCUGGGGCUGAAGUAGGUCCCAAGGGUAUGGCUGUUCGCCAUUUAAAGUGGUACGCGAGCUGGGUUUAGAACGUCGUGAGACAGUUCGGUCCCUAUCUGCCGUGGGCGCUGGAGAACUGAGGGGGGCUGCUCCUAGUACGAGAGGACCGGAGUGGACGCAUCACUGGUGUUCGGGUUGUCAUGCCAAUGGCACUGCCCGGUAGCUAAAUGCGGAAGAGAUAAGUGCUGAAAGCAUCUAAGCACGAAACUUGCCCCGAGAUGAGUUCUCCCUGAGACUUAGAGUCUCCUGAAGGAACGUUGAAGACGACGACGUUGAUAGGCCGGGUGUGUAAGCGCAGCGAUGCGUUGAGCUAACCGGUACUAAUGAACCGUGAGGCUUAACCUUACAACGCCGAAG